CGUAAUCUGUGUUGCAAAUUCUUCUACCCGAGGAUGUACCCAAUAUUGAUCUCUGACUCUGUUACCAAUGUUAAUAUAAUAUGAUAUAUGGAUCACACCUCCUGUAUCCAGCAUGCACUUUUGUAAAUAGUUCUUUUUUUGUCUUUGUUUCUAUUUAUUUUCUUGUAAAUAUUAAUACUUUGUAUAUAAAUUGACGACGCCCCUCAUGCAUGAAAACCAACUUAUGACGUUGAAGAGGCUAGCGUCAUAAAAUACAUUUUUACGAUACGAUACGAU